GCAAAGUAUUCUACAUAGCAGAUUGAAUAAUACUGGAAGGAGGAACCAAGCGUGUUGCACCUGCAGCUGAGCAUCUGAAUGCUUCCAGAGGGAAACACCUGAAUGAGCCCAUGCCCACAGACGUACACAGCAUAUCCAAUAUAUGAAGAGAAAAUCAAUCAACAGAAAGUGACCAAGAUCUGACAGAGAAGAUGCAAAUAACAGG